rnacentral:rRNA from 1 species
AUUGAACGCUGGCGGCAGGCCUAACACAUGCAAGUCGAACGGUAGCACAGAGAGCUUGCUCUCGGGUGACGAGUGGCGGACGGGUGAGUAACGUCUGGGAAACUGCCCGAUGGAGGGGGAUAACUACUGGAAACGGUAGCUAAUACCGCAUAACGUCGCAAGACCAAAGUGGGGGACCUUCGGGCCUCACACCAUCGGAUGUGCCCAGAUGGGAUUAGCUAGUAGGUGGGGUAAUGGCUCACCUAGGCGACGAUCCCUAGCUGGUCUGAGAGGAGGACCAGCCACACUGGAACUGAGACACGGUCCAGGCUCCUACGGGAGGCAGCAGUGGGGAAUAUUGCACAAUGGGCGCAAGCCUGAUGCAGCCAUGCCGCGUGUAUGAAGAAGGCCUUCGGGUUGUAAAGUACUUUCAGCGGGGAGGAAGGCGGUGAAGUUAACAGCUUCACCGAUUGACGUUACCCGCAGAAGAAGCACCGGCUAACUCCGUGCCAGCCGCCGCUGUAA